CUUCACACAUUUCGGCAGCAUUUUUAUUUUCUGUGUUUCUUAUUGCCCGAUCGACCCUUCCAAUUUUAUUGCCGACCGCCCCCAAUUUUUUUUCCAUUCC